ensembl:lncRNA
CCAUAAGUGCCACCGCACCCCAUAAAUCACAGCAGACCCCACAAGUAGCACUGGGCCCCACAGGAUCCGCCCGGCCCCAUAGGUUACACCCGGCCCCAUAAGUGACAUCAGGCCCCAUAAGUCACAACAGGCACCGUAGGUCACUCCACACCCCCUAAGAUCCACCCAGCCCCACAAGUGGCACCAGGCCCCACAGAUCACUGUAGGCCCCACAGAUCACUGCAGGCCCCAUAGAUCUCAGCAGCCCCACGGAUCUCAGCAGCCCCAUAGAUCUCAGCAGGCUCCACGGAUCACUGCAGGCCCCAUAGAUCUCAGCAGGCCCCACAGAUCGCAGCAGGCCCCACAGAUCGCAGCAGGCCCCAGAGAUGUCAGCAGCCCCAUAGAUCUCAGCAGCCCCAUAGAUCUCAGCAGGCUCCAUGGAUCACUGCAGGCCCCACAGCUCUCAGCAGCCCCACGGAUCUCAGCAGCCCCACAGAUCACUGCAGGCCCCACAGAUCACAGCAGCCCCAUAGAUCUCAGCAGUCCCAUAGAUCUCAGCAGCCCCACAGAUCACAGCAGGCCCCACAGAUCUCAGCAGGCCGCACAGAUCUCAGUAGGCCCCACAGAUCACAGCAGGCCCCAUGGAUCACAGCAGCCCCACAGAUCACUGUAGGCUCCAUGGAUCACUGCAGGCCCCAUAGAUCUCAGCAGGCCCCACAGAUCAUUGUAGACCCCAUGGAUCACUGCAGGCCCCACAGAUCACUGCAGGCCCCACAGAUCUCAGCAGCCCCAUGGAUCUCAGCAGCCCCACAGAUCACUGCAGGCCGCACAGACCUCAGCAGCCCCACAGAUCACUGCAGGCCCCACAGAUCACUGUAGACCCCAUGGAUCACUGCAGGCCCCACAGAUCGCAGCAGCCCCAUAGAUCUCAGCAGCCCCAUAGUUCACUGCAGGCCCCACAGAUCUCAGUAGGCCCCAUGGCUCACUGCAGCCCCACAGAUCUCAGCAGACCCACAGAUCUCAGCAGGCCCCAUAGAUUGCUGCAGGCCCCACAGAUCACUGUAGACCCCAUGGAUCACUGCAGGCCCCACAGAUCACAGCAGGCUCCAUGGAUCUCAGCAUCCCCACAGAUCACUGCAGGCCCCACAGAUCACUGUAGACCCCAUGGAUCACGGAGGCCCCACAGAUCACAGCAGCCCCAUAGAUCUCAGCAGCCCCAUGGAUCACAGCAGCCCCAUGGAUCACUGCAGGCCCCAUAGAUCUCAGCAGCCCCACAGAUCUCAGCAGCCCCAUGGAUCACUGCAGGCCCCACAGAUCUCGGCAGGCCGCACAGACCUCAGUAGGCCCCACGGCUCACUGCAGCCCCACGGAUCUCAGCAGCCCCACGGGUCCCGCCCAGCCCCACGGCAGCCGCUCACCCCACGCGCUCCGCCCGG